UCUCGGGGGGGGGGGGUGGAACGCGUGAGAAUCUGGCUCUAGGUCGGGGACAACAGUUGGAAACGACUGCUAAUACCGGAUGUGCCGAAAGGUAAAAGGCUUGCUGCCUGGAGAUGAGCUCGCGUCUGAUUAGCUAGUUGGUGUGGUAAGAGCACACCAAGGCGACGAUCAGUAGCUGGUCUGAGAGGAUGAUCAGCCACACUGGGACUGAGACACGGCCCAGACUCCUACGGGAGGCAGCAGUGGGGAAUUUUCCGCAAUGGGCGAAAGCCUGACGGAGCAAUACCGCGUGAGGGAGGAAGGCUCUUGGGUUGUAAACCUCUUUUCUCAAGGAAUAACACAAUGAAGGUACUUGAGGAAUAAGCAUCGGCUAACUCCGUGCCAGCAGCCGCGGUAAUACGGAGGAUGCAAGCGUUAUCCGGAAUGAUUGGGCGUAAAGGGUCCGCAGGUGGCAUUGUGUGUCUGCUGUCAAAGAAUGAGGCUUAACCUCAUCAAGGCAGUGGAAACUACAAAGCUAGAGUACGGUCGGGGUAGAAGGAAUUCCUGGUGUAGCGGUGAAAUGCGUAGAGAUCAGGAAGAACACCGGUGGCGAAAGCGUUCUGCUAGACCUGUACUGAUC
rnacentral:rRNA from 1 species